rnacentral:rRNA from 1 species
AGAGUUUGAUCAUGGCUCAGAUUGAACGCUGGCGGCAGGCCUAACACAUGCAAGUCGAGCGGUAGCACAGAGAGCUUGCUCUCGGGUGACGAGCGGCGGACGGGUGAGUAAUGUCUGGGAAACUGCCUGAUGGAGGGGGAUAACUACUGGAAACGGUAGCUAAUACCGCAUAACGUCGCAAGACCAAAGUGGGGGACCUUCGGGCCUCAUGCCAUCAGAUGUGCCCAGAUGGGAUUAGCUAGUAGGUGGGGUAACGGCUCACCUAGGCGACGAUCCCUAGCUGGUCUGAGAGGAUGACCAGCCACACUGGAACUGAGACACGGUCCAGACUCCUACGGGAGGCAGCAGUGGGGAAUAUUGCACAAUGGGCGCAAGCCUGAUGCAGCCAUGCCGCGUGUGUGAAGAAGGCCUUCGGGUUGUAAAGCACUUUCAGCGGGGAGGAAGGCGUUAAGGUUAAUAACCUUGGCGAUUGACGUUACCCGCAGAAGAAGCACCGGCUAACUCCGUGCCAGCAGCCGCGGUAAUACGGAGGGUGCAAGCGUUAAUCGGAAUUACUGGGCGUAAAGCGCACGCAGGCGGUCUGUCAAGUCGGAUGUGAAAUCCCCGGGCUUAACCUGGGAACUGCAUUCGAAACUGGCAGGCUAGAGUCUUGUAGAGGGGGGUAGAAUUCCAGGUGUAGCGGUGAAAUGCGUAGAGAUCUGGAGGAAUACCGGUGGCGAAGGCGGCCCCCUGGACAAAGACUGACGCUCAGGUGCGAAAGCGUGGGGAGCAAACAGGAUUAGAUACCCUGGUAGUCCACGCCGUAAACGAUGUCGAUUUGGAGGUUGUGCCCUUGAGGCGUGGCUUCCGGAGCUAACGCGUUAAAUCGACCGCCUGGGGAGUACGGCCGCAAGGUUAAAACUCAAAUGAAUUGACGGGGGCCCGCACAAGCGGUGGAGCAUGUGGUUUAAUUCGAUGCAACGCGAAGAACCUUACCUGGUCUUGACAUCCACAGAACUUUCCAGAGAUGGAUUGGUGCCUUCGGGAACUGUGAGACAGGUGCUGCAUGGCUGUCGUCAGCUCGUGUUGUGAAAUGUUGGGUUAAGUCCCGCAACGAGCGCAACCCUUAUCCUUUGUUGCCAGCGGUCCGGCCGGGAACUCAAAGGAGACUGCCAGUGAUAAACUGGAGGAAGGUGGGGAUGACGUCAAGUCAUCAUGGCCCUUACGACCAGGGCUACACACGUGCUACAAUGGCAUAUACAAAGAGAAGCGACCUCGCGAGAGGAAGCGGACCUCAUAAAGUAUGUCGUAGUCCGGAUUGGAGUCUGCAACUCGACUCCAUGAAGUCGGAAUCGCUAGUAAUCGUAGAUCAGAGUGCUACGGUGAAUACGUUCCCGGGCCUUGUACACACCGCCCGUCACACCAUGGGAGUGGGUUGCAAAAGAAGUAGGUAGCUUAACCUUCGGGAGGGCGCUUACCACUUUGUGAUUCAUGACUGGGGUGAAGUCGUAACAAGGUAACCGUAGGGGAACCUGCGGUUGGAUCACCU